rnacentral:rRNA from 1 species
UGGUGGGUUGCCUUGUCAGGUUGAUUCCGGUAACGAACGAGACCUCAGCCUGCUAAAUAGUCACGGUUGCUUUUGCAGCCGGCAGACUUCUUAGAGGGACUUUUGGCGACUAGCCAAAGGAAGUGUGAGGCGAUAACA